rnacentral:lncRNA from 1 species
CACGGGGGUCCCUGUGUGUCCUCUGAGCUCUUUGCUUCCCUUGCAGCCUGCUCUCCCCCACCCCCAGGGAGUAGCUGCUGCUGGGGGGCUGGGCCUGGCCUGCAAGUUUUAACAUUGAAUCAAAUGCUUCUCUGCUCUCUCCCAGACGCCCCUUCCCAAGCGCUGAUGGUGGAGGGGAGGAAGCCUGCUGGGGAGCCCCAAGGUGGGAGCCUCGCGACAGGACCGGGGCAGGGUGCAGGGCCGCCCCAGAUUUUUUGGAGAUAGCAGGGGUGCUCAGCAGCGCAAAGGGAGGCUCGGGGCCCCGGGGGUGCCCUCAGGGGGGAGGGCAGCCUGCUCGAAGGCCGCAUGGCAAGUUGCUGGGGGCUGGGGGAGUGGGCAGGCAGCUGGGGGGUUGGGAGGUGAGCCUUGCAGCAGCCAAUGGGACGUGGCCCCUGUGCUCAGCCAGUCGCUACUUUUGUAGCCACUUGCCUAGUACAUAAGUGCAGGCAGGGAGCCGCCCGUCUCACUCCUAGACUCCGGGUCCAUGGGUGAGGCACUUCGAAUAACCGCUAUUGAGACCAUGAGCGGCGACCCUGAGGGCGGCAGCGGCGACAUCAAGGGGGCCGCUCAGGCAGGCUCUGGCUCCGGCUCGGGCUCGGGCCAGUCUGCAGAAGGUGCUUCCGCCGAGCAGUCCACCAGCUGUGACUCUGGUUCUGAGAUCGCUGCAGGCCAGGAGGUGGCCAAAGGCAGCUCCAAGGGCAAGGGCAAAGCUGGCUCUGGCGCCAAGGCUGGCCAGCGAAGCCCCAACCCCAAGUCCUCCAAAGGGAAGGGCGAGGAUCAGCAGGGAAUCCGCAAAGAUCUGGCCAAGAUCGAGCAGAAAGUGGAUAUCCUGCUCGAGAGGAUGGAUAAGUUCACCAGAGAGGCUGGUUUGCUGACAGAGGGGAACAAGGAGAAGCUGGAGAAAGCCGAGAAGCCGGAGAAGCUGGAGAAGUCCGGUAAAGGCGAGAAGCCUGGCAAGGUGGAGAAGUCCGAGAAGCUGCCCCUUUCUCAGCCACCAGUCCAGCAGCAGCCUCAGCACCAGGGUGGCAAGGGCCAGAAGAAGUUCAAGGGGGGUGCCAAGGCUGCUUCUGCUGAGGGUGCUGGUAGCAGCGGCAGCAGUGGCAGCGGUGGCAGUGCUGCCGGCAAGUCUGCUUAGAGGGAUCGAGCCUGGACCAGAGUGACGGCGCCGGAGCUGCAGCAGCAGAGCCCUCCAGCAUCUACAAGGGUGGGGGGCCCCCUCCCCAUGCCACCUGGGCCCUUGUCCUAGAGCCACGCUCACCUGGUCCCCUCUCCCAGCAUCCCCAGCUCAUGCUCCCAGUUGUCCCCAGUUCAGCUCUCUUGCAGGUGACCUCCUCUUUAGGGAGAACCCCCUGCAGGGGCUGCCCCCCUUCCCUAUAGCCCCCCUAGGAGGCUCCCACACCCCACCCCUCAGCAAAGCCUCCAAGUUGGGCUCCCUUAGCUCGCCUUGCUUUUCUCUGCAUAUUUAGCAAUAAAAAAGUUCUCUUGCUCCUUUGGUGACUUUUG